GUAAAAUAUGCAAGUACUUCUCCAUAUCUGCGAGGGGAAGAGGAAGGGCUCUCAACAGUGACCGGGGAGCGCGACGACGUAUAGUAACAUUUGGAAGUAAGAAUUAUUUGGUGGUUAGUUUUGAUUGCAGUAUGGACGAGAAGGCAGAAAAUGGUAUCAAGAAGCUGUCCCCUUGUGAUGUGGAAGCCUUGAAGAAAUGCUUGGAGGAAAACAAAGGGGACUACUUGAAAUGCCAAUCUCAGAUUGAAGCUUUCAAGUCAUCCUGCUCACUGAAGAAACCUCCAUCUUCUCAGGCCCCCUCGUGACUUAAGCUUCAUCCACUAUUCUGUCUUUUUUUCUUUUUCUUUUUUUUUUUUGCCUCAGAGAGGCAAUUUCUGUUUUUUUGAGCGACUUAGAUUGUAUUUGGUAGUUGCUUAUUAUCAAGUAUGACUAAUCUUUUAUCUUAUUGUGCCCCAUGAUAUUUCCUAGAUAAAGUGCAAAGUGUUCAAGCACUACUUCAUAAAAGAUUCAGCUUGUCUUGGAUUUAUAGAUUAAGAAAGAAAGAAUGGUUGUCUUUUGAGUGACUGCUUGCUUAAUAUGAUUUUUAUUUUUACAUAUUUGGACACCUCUGUGCUUAUGCAAGAAAAGACAAUGAGAAAGCUGUUAUGGAGAAAUUGCACUAUUGGAUCACAUGUCAAAAUUUGUUAUCCUGAUUAUUUUCUUCGAUUGUAAUCUUUGUACAGUGAUAUAUGAAGUCUUCAAGGGUGAUAAUUGUUCUGGUGUCUCUAGACUGUUUCUGAUCAAUAACUUGGAAAGAAGGGAAUAGAAUUGAGAAAAUGCUUGUCAGGCACUGAAGAAGCAUCAUUCCGACCUAUCAGAGAGUUCUUUUCAAUCUUGUUCAGAGCCAUUAGACAAACAAGGCCUUUCUUGCAUUCUUGAUAAAAAUGGACUUCUGUGUGAGACUAGAUCGAUCAACAGGAUUGAUAUGGUGGCUUAUGAUUUAUUUUAAAUAUGUUUAUGCAUUUUUAUUGAA